GCCAGUGUGGUGUAGUGGUUUUAGUGUUGGACUAGGACUCUGAGGACUAGGGUUCAAAUCCCUGCUCAGUCA
rnacentral:tRNA from 1 species